CAGAGAGAGGAGAGAGAAAGAGAGAAAGAGAGAGAGUGAGUGAACUGAGUCUGGGUCAGCUUGGACUGUCAUAUCAGACAUUCAGAGAGAGAGAGAGAGAGAGAGAAAAAGAGAGAGAGAGCGAGCACAGCAGGAGAGGGGAGGUAUGUCAGAGGAUGUGGUUUCUCUUAGCUUGCAGAACAUUGCACAUACUUUGAGCAUGACCUAAACAGCAGCACGCGAAGUGUGUUUUCUGCGCUCCGUCUGCCGCAGGACCCAUCCGCUUGGCUCCUGGAGCUUGGAUCUUCUGUUUGUUAUUGUGCUGCCACAUCAAAAGGGAAUAGAGCAAGGAGAUUUGUAUCCCGGUCAUCCCUCUUGCGGUUCACGCGCUGGUUAGUGGAGUCACACGGCAGCUUGACUUCAGAUCAGUGACUUAAACUUGCAGCGCCUGCGUAUCGAAACCUUCACAACAGGCUUCAGUGUGCACUCGUUCAGCAGAAAUGGGCUGCGGGUUGAGGAAGUUCCGUCAGACGGAAGACAACAGUCCGGGAAAAAUCUACUCCACCCUAAAAAGGCCACAGGUGGAGACCAAGACUGGGGUCGCCUACACCUAUCAACACUUAGACUUCCUGGUGGGGAAAGACGAUGGGACGUCCACGCUGUGUCUAUCUUCAGUGAGAGAGCUGCCGUCUCAGCUGCAGGAUCUCUACCAGCGGGGCUUCAUCCUGACAGCUGUGCAUCCUUUCGUCCAUUCGUGUGGUCCGGAGCACGCCAGCGUCCAGCGUCGACUCUAUCGUGCUGUGCUCAUCAAAGUCUCUGACAGUUGGGAGACGAAUCCAGACUUUGAGCCUUUCCAUCUAAAACUGGAGGAGUGCAUGUCUGCAGAGCAGAUCCCCACCUCAGAACACAUUCAGGGCUAUGUGAAAAAACAGAUCCAGGAUGCAGCAGAUCAGGGCAUCAUGUUUGCAGGCUUCAUCCAGGAGCCAGCUGGCCUACGCCCACACGUGCUACGGCACGGAGAACCAGAGGAACCCUCCCUCUCCCUGCACUCCAGCCCUAGCUCGUUGCACGGCUCUGGGCUGACACCCAGCCCGAGCCCCCUGGAGGAGCCGGAGCUGGGAGACGAGCCCGGAGCGGAGAAUCAAUCGAACGAGGCUCAGAUAGACGACGUUAGAUCUUCCGCGGGAGAAGAUGGAGAUGAUCUCUCCAAUGAGACAUCAGGCAUGAAAUCUGGAUCUGGUGAAACACAGCCGACAGAUAAACUCACGCACAACAACAACGACACGGCCAAAAUCACAGACGCAUCAGAGAGACCCAGCAGAUUGCUCCUGGCUAAAAGAGGAGCUGAGCUCUUUGGAUUGUUUAAUUAUCCUGGUCGCCGUGAGGGUCAGUUUAAGUACUACACUGUUAAAGUUCCUCUCUGGGUCCAGCCGCUCGGUGACGGUAUUUGCACUUUAGAGGCAAACUGGCUUGACCACAUGACCCAACAUUUCAACAGCGGGGCUUUACUUGUGGAUGGAUACUUUCAACUUACCAAUGACAAUGCAGAUCAACUCAGCAGGAGGACGGUGGACAGCGUGUUCGUGUUUCAGGAGGGCGUGGAGGGCGACAUAAACGCAACCACCGGGUACGACGCUAUUGUGGUGGAACAGUGGACGGUCAUUGAUGGUUUACAGGUGAAGACUGACUAUAUUCCACUGUUGCAGUCACUGGCCUCAUUCGGAUGGAGACUCACUUGCGUGCUGCCUACACCUAUUAUUAGGACAAACAGUGAUGGAAGUUUGGCUACCAAACAGAUUGUUUUCCUCCAAAGGCCAAUGCUGUCCCGCAAGAAGAAAGAAUCUAAGAAAGUCAUCUUUAAAGCCCGAAACAAGUGCAACAAGAACUCCGUCAAAGACGCACCAAAGAACAAGAAGAAGAAAGAGAUCACGGCCACCGUCGACAAGGAGCUCUGUGAUCAAAAGAUCAGUGACGGAUCUGAGAAGAUCACAGAGGAGAGAAACUCAAGUGUGAAUGAACGACAGAAAGACCAAAAUAAUGAGGUUGAAGUGGCGUGCGGAGAGGAAAAGACGCAGGAAGUGCAUGAGACGGCAACGGGAAGUGAGGUGCAUGGAGUGUGCAAGGAAAAACAGGAAGUAGGAAAUGCCAUUGAGGAAAAUAAGGACGAAGUAGAGGCGGAGAUGAGCCACGACAUCUCACCUGUUGUAGACCAUCCGACAACAGGAGAAAUGGGACAGCGGGGCGAUCAGGAAGACACCACAGCCGAUCAGAACCACGGCAGCGUGCAAGAAGAUGAAUCGUCACCGGCACAUGAUGACGUUUCAGCCAAUCAGGAUUGAAAAUACUUCUUCAUUUGGAGCUUUAUGAAUGUACAAAAUGCUGUACUGCAAAAAAUAACAUUUUGGUCUCGUUUCCCAGUAAGCAUCUUUAAAGCUAGAUCUGUUUACAAGAUAUACAGCACAAGAUUUACCACCUAAGAUGAAUCGCUUUGUUGUUUUCCUCACUUUGUAUAAAGCGGCAUCUAAAUUAUAAAUUACAUAAUAAUAUUAACACUUCUACCUAGUUUAGUUCAGACAUCUUUACCUAAAACAAGGCUAAUAACGUGAUUUUUUGCAGUAUAGCUUUACAGUACCAGACAGUAGCUGUCAGACAGACACCUCACCUGACAUUGUGACCUCUUCUAACCAAUGCUGAACAUGUCAGCUCGCCGCUGGAGGGGAGAGAGAUUUCAUCCCUUCUUCAAAUGAACCGAGAGGACUCCUAUAACCAGAAAAAGGAGAUGAAAUGGGACGAGAUUGUUAUCAGUAAAUGCACUGGAUAAGAAAAACCACAUUAAUAUUUACACUGUGACCGGCUCAAAGACUUCAUUUCUACUGAAGACAGCAGGCGCACGUGGUGGUGGAGAUGGUUACUGUUGCGAGAAGCAAUCGAUUGUGAUAUUCAUACAAUAGGUAUGAGAUCGGUGAGUUCUUGGGCCUGCGUGGUCAGCCGGUGUGUUGGUACGGAUGACAGAUGAGCUAUUAAGGAAAAACAAGAAUGUAAAAGAGAGAGACAGGAUCUACCACUCCAUCAAUGAAAUGAUGCCAGGCAAUAUUUACUGUCCUCUUCAGAGCGAACGCUGCGGUCGGCCCAAGUCUCCUGUAGUUUCUCUUAGCAUAUAUGAAGAAAAAUAACAUCUGCGAGUAUCCUGCACAGGCAGGGGAGAUCAUUCAUUGUAUCUAAUAAUAAUGCACAUGUACAGGCGUGCACCACAGUCUAUUUCAUUUCUGUUCUCAUGCUUUGCAGAAGUCAUUAAAAACUGCAUCUCUCGCCUCAAACGCGUGCUUGUGUAUCUGAGAAAAAAAAAACAUUCACCAUCUCUGCCUCCAGAUUUGCAGGUUGCUUUGAUUGUUGUCAAUACUGAUCAAUGUUUUCAUGAUAAUGUCAUCUGUACAAUUUGUAUAUUAUAAUAAAUAUGAUUUAUAUUU